AUCUGGUUCAUCCUUGGGAGCAAUUUCCAAAUGCCGGAAGGUGCCGAAUGGGAGGAGAAGAGGUUGAAGCUGGGGUCUGCCCUGACUUUGGCUUCUCUACGGAUGAAGUUGGCGAACACCCAGAAUGGAAGGUGACAUUGUUUUAUAGCUUGACGUUUGACCCAUAUGAUGUCCACGUUUCCUGCAGGCCAUAUGGGAGCUUCUCUACGAUAGGGCUCACCCCUCUGGAUGUCUCCAGGUAUGAUAGGCCAGGGCACAAACAUUCCCUGUGAACAGAGAUGAAGAGAUUGCAUUGAUGUCGACCACGAUGACUGUCUGAAGAAACCCUAUGUAAGCUGUAUGGAUAAAUGUCAACAAAAAAAAAUACAAACCAACAAUAUUAAGGACAAAGUGUCUGAAACAUUCAAACUUUCCCUAAAGUUUAACUUUAAGUGAAACAAAUUUAGAAAUGACGACAAAUAUUUCUUCAU